CUUUUACUUCCCUAUUUAGGCCUGAGUUGGAUGCAUGUGAUGUACCAGAAAAAUAUCCUCAACUAUUUCAGGUGACUCUGGAUGUAGAACUACAGCCCCAAGACAAAGUGGUUGACUUAACCCCACCCUGGGAACAUUACUGCACGAAGGAUGUCAAUCCCAGCAUCCUCUUUUCUUCUCACCAGGAGCAUCAAGAGACUCUGGUCUUAGGAGGACAGGCUCCAAUAGAUAUCCCUCCAGACAACCCCAGGCAUUUUGGGCAAGGUGGCUUCUUUUCCACUCUCUGUUGGCAA